AUUUCUAAUCGAAGUUUGAAUAUGAAUUUCCCUGAAGGCUUCAAGAAGAUUCUAGUGAGGUGAAAAGUCAGGUUCAGAAAUUUGAAACUCAGAUAUUUUUUACAACUAGAAUAAUAGUUGGUAUUGACUUUUAGGCCAAAAACUGAAAGGUCAAAGUUGUUCUAAAUGAACAGCUGAAAUGCAGAGUUUAAUGUUAUGCAAUAUAUCAAUUGUCUCGUCCUUUAAAGGUCUGGGAAAGCAUACCUUUUAGAGAUCACUUUUAAGCUUAGAUUUAAGAGUUUGAGUCGAGUACGGGUUUCUAUUAUUUUUUUAUCGCUUGUACACCUCAAGUGCUAUCGAUUGUUUAGUGAUUAUACUUAUUGUUUAGCUAUUUUGAUUUUGGUGCCAUUUUUGUUAUCAUCCCAAUAUUUUUUAUGGUUUGAACAUGUUGAAGAAAAAAUGUUUGCUUAUUAUCUCGUAGUGCUUGACAAAGUGUUAAUUUGUUUUACAUGUAUUUGAAAUUUUACAUUUUGUGUAGGACAUGAAUUUAUGAGUUACUUCAUACAACAAACCUAAUGAUUUCAUAGUAUUAUUAGCAAGUGUGUUACUCUUUCUAAAGCCAUUCUAGUUCAAGAAUGCCAACACAGUGAUAUUUAUAAACCUUUAUAGAACUUUUAAAACUAUUAUCUCAAAACACAAGUUACCAAAAGUAAUUGUAAAGGUUUGCAACACAAGUUACCAAAUGUAUUCGCAAAGGUUUCACAAACAGGUUACCUCGAUUUAUAAUUUACAAAGGUUUUAAUUGUAAAGGUUUGGGACACAAAUUACCAAAUGUAUUCGCAAAGGUUUCACAAACAGAUUACCUCAAUUUAUAAUUUACAACGGUUUUAUAAUUUACCAAAUGAAACUGAAAUGUAUUUGCCAGUGGAUAGAUUUGAAACAGGACAUAUACGUUUCUAUUGCGAGCUUGGUGCUAUUUUUUUUAUGUUUGCCAUGUUUUUGUUACUAAUAGAGACUUACGAGUAUGUACGUGAAUGUCUUUAUAUAAUUUGCCUGUGAUUUGGUUGGUUCAUGUAACUAAUUCAGAUUUGAUUUCUGCUAGAAAUAAAUCCAAGCAGAUUUCAGUUUUAUUCCUGGGGUUACUGUCUUCCAUAUCUUGUUUUAGUACCAAAAGUCAAUGCGCAAGAUUUUCACAAGUGUACACAGGGCCUCAGAUAAUGAUGUGCAAUGCUAUUUUACUUUCUGUAAUAAAUUAUUUUCAUAAA